GAUGAACGCUGGCGGCGUGCUUAACACAUGCAAGUCGAACGGUGAACGAGGGAGCUUGCUCCCUCCGGAUCAGUGGCGAACGGGUGAGUAACACGUGAGCAAUCUGCCCUGGACUCUGGGAUAAGCGUUGGAAACGACGUCUAAUACCGGAUACGAGGCGUGGGGGCAUCCCCAACGCCUGGAAAGAACUUCGGUCCAGGAUGAGCUCGCGGCCUAUCAGCUAGUUGGUGAGGUAACGGCUCACCAAGGCGACGACGGGUGGCCGGCCUGAGAGGGUGACCGGCCACACUGGGACUGAGACACGGCCCAGACUCCUACGGGAGGCAGCAGUGGGGAAUAUUGCACAAUGGGCGCAAGCCUGAUACAGCAACGCCGCGUGAGGGACGACGGCCUUCGGGUUGUAAACCUCUUUUAGCAGGGAAGAAGCGAAAGUGACGGUACCUGCAGAAAAAGCACCGGCUAACUACGUGCCAGCCGCCGCAGUAACAC
rnacentral:rRNA from 1 species